rnacentral:rRNA from 1 species
AAUCAACGCUGGCGGCGUGCCUCAGACAUGCAAGUCGAACGAUUAAGACUCUCUUCGGAGAGUGCAUAAAGUGGCGCACGGGUGAGUAACACGUAAGUAAUCUACCUUUGGGUGGGGAUAACAGUCGGAAACGACUGCUAAUACCGCAUAAUGCAGCGGCUCCUUAUGGAGACAGUUGUUAAAGAUUUAUCGCCUAAAGAGGAGCUUGCGGCAGAUUAGCAG